GCUCAGGUAAGAGAAUUGGCAUAUCGCACAGUCUUAGAAACUGUGAUUUGUGGGUUCGAGUCCCACCCUGAGUA
rnacentral:tRNA from 1 species